AUUUGAUAUCUAAAUUAUCAUAUUAAUUUUUUAUUAAUUAUUAUAGUUCACUUCUCAUCUUUAUAUGAUUCUAUUUUUUCGAAAAA
rnacentral:sRNA from 1 species